AGCGCCUUGGCCGGCACUGGAAAAGCCAGGAUGGGGUGAUCCCUGAUCCUGACCUCGUUUCCCUAGUAACGGUCUCUGGAGCUGAUGGCCACCUAGCGAUUUGUCAGACUGUGACGGGUCUGGGCCUCCUGUUCCCAACUCAUAAGGCUUUACAGCCCCAUUGACCCGUCUUAUUGAAAACAUUUAGAAAAUACAGAAGACUUGAGUGAGAAUGAGCAAAAGAGGAAGUAGCAAGAGAGAAGUUCAGCGGUAACAAAAGAUGUUUCAUGGAACAAUCACAGAAGAGCUAACCAGUCAUGAAGAAUGGAGUCACUA